rnacentral:rRNA from 1 species
UGCAAGUCGAGCGGCAGCGGAAAGUAGCUUGCUACUUUGCCGGCGAGCGGCGGACGGGUGAGUAAUGUCUGGGAAACUGCCUGAUGGAGGGGGAUAACUACUGGAAACGGUAGCUAAUACCGCAUAACGUCGCAAGACCAAAGAGGGGGACCUUCGGGCCUCUUGCCAUCAGAUGUGCCCAGAUGGGAUUAGCUAGUAGGUGGGGUAACGGCUCACCUAGGCGACGAUCCCUAGCUGGUCUGAGAGGAUGACCAGCCACACUGGAACUGAGACACGGUCCAGACUCCUACGGGAGGCAGCAGUGGGGAAUAUUGCACAAUGGGCGCAAGCCUGAUGCAGCCAUGCCGCGUGUAUGAAGAAGGCCUUCGGGUUGUAAAGUACUUUCAGCGGGGAGGAAGGCGAUAAGGCUAAUAACCUUGUCGAUUGACGUUACCCGCAGAAGAAGCACCGGCUAACUCCGUGCCAGCAGCCGCGGUAAUA